rnacentral:RNase_P_RNA from 1 species
UGGUCCAAAUAUUGUAUAGCUCUGUAGGAAUACAGAGAGGAAAGUCCUGACACUCUAAAACAGGUAACAUCUAACGGAUGUUGAAUACCGCAAGGGUAAAUGAAAGUGCCACAGAAACGUAAACUAUCUGGUAGCAAUACUGGAGAAAGAUGCAACGCGAGGAUGUCCGCCUAGGCGGACUACCUCUACUCAGCUUCCACGAUGUGGAUUCGAGUGGUAAACCAUACCUGGUGCAAGCUUAUUCGCUUCGGCGAAAAAGUGCAAUACGUUGGCUCUAUGCCGACAUAGACACAUUAUACAGUACAACAGAAUCAGGCUUAUCAUUUGGACAAAAAA